CAGCAGCCGCGGGAAAACAGAGGGUGCGAGCGUUAAUCGGAUUUACUGGGCGUAAAGCGUGCGUAGGCGGCUUCUUAAGUCGGAUGUGAAAUCCCUGAGCUUAACUUAGGAAUUGCAUUCGAUACUGGGAAGCUAGAGUAUGGGAGAGGAUGGUAGAAUUCCAGGUGUAGCGGUGAAAUGCGUAGAGAUCUGGAGGAAUACCGAUGGCGAAGGCAAUCACCUGGGCCUGUACUGACGCUCAUGCACGAAAGCGUGGGGAGCAAACAGGAUUAGAUACCCGCGUAGUCCCUGUCUCUUAUAC
rnacentral:rRNA from 1 species